rnacentral:rRNA from 1 species
GAUGAACGCUAGCGGCAGGCCUAACACAUGCAAGUCGAGGGGUAGCAGGAUUAAGCUUGCUUAAUUGCUGACGACCGGCGCACGGGUGCGUAACGCGUAUGCAACCUACCUUAUACUGGGGUAUAGCCCGGAGAAAUUCGGAUAAAUCCCCCAUAGUACUAAUGAAUCGCAUGGUUUAUUAGUUAAAGCAUUGCGGUAUAAGAUGGGCAUGCGUCCUAUUAGCUAGAUGGUGAGGUAACGGCUCACCAUGGCUACGAUAGGUAGGGGGCCUGAGAGGGUGGUCCCCCACACUGGUACUGAGACACGGACCAGACUCCUACGGGAGGCAGCAGUGAGGAAUAUUGGUCAAUGGGCGCAAGCCUGAACCAGCCAUGCCGCGUGCAGGAAGAAUGCCCUAUGGGUUGUAAACUGCUUCUAUUUGGGAAUAAACCUCUUUACGUGUAGAGAGCUGAAGGUACCAAAUGAAUAAGCACCGGCUAACUCCGUGCCAGCCGCCGCAGUAA